ACAGGACGCCCAUAACACACGUAUGCUGCUUUUUACGUCUAUGCAGGUGUACUGCUUGGUUCAGAUGAACCGCGGUCUGCCACUUCCCUCAGAGCAUAAUCUACAACCUAUAUACUUUUGCAUCUAUCGGACAUUAUUCAUUAACAUGCUAGAAAAUAUCAUUAAUGUAUACACCUCUUUGCGUUGCUGUUUUAUGUACACCCUAAGAAAAAAAUGUGUUUUCUGGGUGUAAAGGGCGCCACUUACACCCCACGCUUACUCUCUAGUGCCGGUGGUGUCACAGAGCACCGUUGUAGAACCUUUUACCUUUUUGUUUCUUUCGAGGGGUUUGGGGUGUAUGGCCUGCAAACUGCACCCGUGAGCGCGCAGUACGUGGGCAUGCGCAAAAGGCUAUCAUCCAGUUCGGGACGCGCGUGACAUUUGAGUGCGUAUGGCUAACGGCUUCAGACUGAACCUUCACUAUUCUUGUUAACGUCAGGUAAGUUUGAAAGUUUAUUUUCGCAUUGCGUCAUCAAUGUAAGCAACGCGUAGUAAGCUUAUCGUGAGUGUUGCAGGUCAUGCGUGUUUCAGUCAAGGAAAUUUUGUGUGGCAGCAUCAGGGAUUGACAGCGUUCGCGUUGAUACUGGCCGCGGCAAAGCACAGAUAAGGUCGUCUGCCUUGUGACACUGGAAUGGCCACAAAGCAAAUAAUCGUCCGUAGAGAACGCAAACGUGACGAUGUCGCCGAGGCUCUAAGGCACUCGCCUUUUUGGCGAUCUCGUAACCGACAGCUCCAUUGUGCAGGAUUCAGGUCAGGCACAACCGUAUCCAGCAUAGUAUACACUGGAAAAGACCCUGUCACAAGCCAAAGCGUCUGCGUAACAGCACAGCGAUCCAUCAUUGAGCGACCACACGGAACAGUAACAACGGACGGCGAGGCGUCGAGCUACGAGCUGAGAUCCACGACACGCCGCGCUGAUUGGCAAGCGAUCUUUCCAGAAGCAUCUGCUCGCAUCAAUCUCAAGGACGGGCCGGCGGCCUUGGAGAAGCUUCGGUAUUUCCUUCUCUCCACCGACGCGUGUUUUUCACCGCUGUGUAUAAAAGCUUGUGAGCUCCCAGUCGGAGCAUUAUUAUUUUUCAACUUAGUUAUGUUUAAGAGCUAUCGCUCUUGUAUUAACCAGCUAAGCAGCUGAAUAAAGUGUUCG